rnacentral:rRNA from 1 species
AUUGAACGCUGGCGGCAGGCUUAACACAUGCAAGUCGAGCGAGCGGCGGACGGGUGAGUAAUGUCUGGGAAACUGCCUGAUGGAGGGGGCUAACUACUGGAAACGGUAGCUAAUACCGCAUACCAUCAGAUGUGCCCAGAUGGGAUUAGCUAGUAGGUGGGGUAAUGGCUCACCUAGGCGACGAUCCCUAGCUGGUCUGAGAGGAUGACCAGCAAAACUGGAACUGAGACACGGUCCAGACGCCUACGUGAGGCAGAAGUGGGGAAGAUUGCACAAUGGGCGCAAGCUUGAUGCAGCCAUGAGGCGUGUGUGAAGAAGGCCUUCGGGUUGUAAAGCACUCUAAGCGAGGAGGCGUUACUCGCAGAAGAAGCACCGGCUAACUCCGUGCCAGCAGCAGCGGUAAGUC